rnacentral:ncRNA from 1 species
CAAAGGCUUGGUCCUGACUUUGCUGUCAACUUUAGCUCAACUUACACAUGCAAGUAUCCGCACCCCUGUGAGAAUGCCCUACAGCCCCCCGCCCGGGGGCAAGGAGCUGGUAUCAGGCACAUUUUUAGCCCACGACGCCUUGCUUAGCCACACCCUCAAGGGAAUUCAGCAGUGACAGACAUUAAGCCAUAAGUGAAAACUUGACUUAGUCAGAGCUAAGAGGGCCGGUAAAACUCGUGCCAGCCACCGCGGUUAUACGAGAGGCCCAAGUUGAUGAAAAACGGCGUAAAGCGUGGUUAAGUUAAAAUCAAAACUAAAGCCGAACACCCCCAAAGCUGUUAUACGCACCCGGAGGUUAGAAGUCCAACUACGAAGGUGGCUUUACCCAACCUGAACCCACGAAAGCUAAGUUACAAACUGGGAUUAGAUACCCCACUAUGCUUAGCCCUAAACAUUGGUAGUUCUUUACAAUCACUACCCGCCUGGGAACUACGAGCAUCAGCUUAAAACCCAAAGGACUUGGCGGUGCUUUAGACCCACCUAGAGGAGCCUGUUCUAGAACCGAUAACCCCCGUUCAACCUCACCUCUCCUUGUUUAUCCCGCCUAUAUACCACCGUCGUCAGCUUACCCUGUGAGGGAUUAGUAGUGAGCUAAACUGGUACAACCCUAAACGUCAGGUCGAGGUGUAGCGUAUGGAGAGGGAAGAAAUGGGCUACAUUCGCUGCAACAGCGAACACGAAUGAUGAACUGAAACAUUCAUCUGAAGGAGGAUUUAGCAGUAAGUAGAAAAUAGAGUGUUCCACUGAAACCGGCCCUGAAGCGCGCACACAUCGCCCGUCACUCUCCCCGAGCCUAAUUUCAUAGUUAACUAAAGCCUAGUAUCUGCAAAGGGGAGGCAAGUCGUAACAUAGUAAGUGUACCGGAAGGUGCACUUGGCAAAG